GUUUAGCCCCGAUAGGAGCGGCAUCCCCGGAACGCAGUGGAGGGAUAUAGCGGAUAGCGGGACAAUGC
rnacentral:sRNA from 1 species